rnacentral:rRNA from 1 species
UCUCCUGGAAAAGGGUGGUAAUGCCGGAUGCUCCAUCACACCGCAUGGUGUGUUGGGAAAGCCUUUGCGGCAUGGGAUGGGGUCGCGUCCUAUCAGCUUGAUGGCGGGGUAACGGCCCACCAUGGCUUCGACGGGUAGCCGGCCUGAGAGGGCGACCGGCCACAUUGGGACUGAGAUACGGCCCAGACUCCUACGGGAGGCAGCAGUGGGGAAUAUUGCACAAUGGGCGCAAGCCUGAUGCAGCGACGCCGCGUGAGGGAUGGAGGCCUUCGGGUUGUAAACCUCUUUUGUUAGGGAGCAAGGCACUUUGUGUUGAGUGUACCUUUCGAAUAAGCACCGGCUAACUACGUGCCAGCAGCCGCGGUAAUACGUAGGGUGCAAGCGUUAUCCGGAAUUAUUGGGCGUAAAGGGCUCGUAGGCGGUUCGUCGCGUCCGGUGUGAAAGUCCAUCGCUUAACGGUGGAUCCGCGCCGGGUACGGGCGGGCUUGAGUGCGGUAGGGGAGACUGGAAUUCCCGGUGUAACGGUGGAAUGUGUAGAUAUCGGAAAAGAAACACCA